UGCGUUUUUAGCUCAGUUGGAUAGAGCAACGGCCUUCUAAGCCGUGUGCCAGGGGUUCGAAUCCCUUAAGACGCACCAA
rnacentral:tRNA from 1 species